UUUUGUUGUUCAGUUCAGCUACUGGAUGCAUCUCUGAUUCCUCUAGUUAAAAACUGCCUUUAUUGAACAUUAUUUCUAAAACUAUUAAGCAUUCUUUAUUUGCUUUUGAAAUUAUUCAUAUGCAAUUUUUCCUUUAGAGUGUGAACCUAUUGAAAGAAGGUACUAUGUUUAAUUUAUCUGUAUGUUUCAGACUCCAGUUCCUGAAACAUAGUAGCACUCAGAAUAACGGAUACUACACUCCUUGGCCGAUUCCAAGUCUUGUGGCCAGGGAGAAAUACAAAUGGUUUGUACCAGAAGUACUGUGGAACUCUCAUUAACUCAACCAACUAUCUGUAUUUCACUUCUGGUACUGAAAAGGAAGAGGUUCAUAGUGCCAAGAGAGCUCUUUCAUUUAUUCCCUUCUAUCACUAGAGCAUGGCAGGGGUGGUCAUGUAAAAAAACAAACCAAACCGAACCAAAAACAAAAACCUCUAGUCUUUGGAAAGUCUACAGACUUCUGGAGAGCCAGCUGCUUUGUUAUACAAUGUUACUGGUAUCAGUAGCUAUAGAAUGUGGCUUAGUUUAGCUCUAUUAUUUUCCUUUGUUUUAAGGGAAAAAAGGAUUUAAGCGAUGUAUCAAACCAUCUACCGGAACAAAAGAGUCCAUAAGGAACUGUAUAUUGAAACUGGAGCAAAGCCACCAGAGCCUAAACAUCCCUUGAGACUGAUCACAUCAAGUCUUUGCUUUACCAACGGUUUCAAACUACCCCUGUUUUCUCCUUGAUCUUAGCCCGUUAUAAACCCUCCGUCUCCUUUUGUCAUGGCCCUAGAUUCUCCACUACUGUCUUGUUCUGUCUUCUGGCCUGGAGUCCCAUGGAGGCUUUCACAAUUCAGCCCAUCUCACCCAGCCCAUUUGUGACAUAUGUCACCAUCUGAUGGAAGCAUCAGGCACCACAUUAAACUUUUCAUAUAUUGUUACAUGUUAAUAUUUGAGCCAAAUAUUCAUUACAUACUAUGCAUUCAAGGUGCUGUUAGCAUAAACCAGCAAACAUGUAUUUCUUCCUUGCAAAAUUAUAAUGGGAUGUAAUUUUCUCAGUUACUGCAUUCAUCCUGCUGGAUGUUACAAUGGUUUAUUAAAUUAGAUUUAAAUGCUUGUUUCUAGAAAACAUUCUCAAGUCACUUUUGGAGACACUGUAAAUAUUUAAGUCAAUGCCAAAAUUCAAAGCGUUACUGGUUCACCUAGAAAUUCAAGUAUGCCUGAUCUCUUCAUCUUUAGCAGAAUAAGGGGUCUCAUGCUUGGCGGGUGUGGCUGAUUAGAAUUUGUCUUUAUGAUAAGCCUCCUACUAAAAUUCCUUUGCCCUUUGUUUCUGUAAGGUUUAAUUGUUUAGGGACCUAACCUGGAGGAUAGGACAUCCAUUUGACUGCCAUGUGUUUGUUCUAAAAACAAAACAAACCAAGAAACCAAACCCCAAAUCUAGAAUCUGAUAAAACAAACAAACAAACAAACAUGAUAUUUCUGUAGCACAGUUGCCUCCUCAUGGCUGGGAUUUGGCUACUCACGUAAAAGUAAGUGUCAUGCAAUUGGCCGUUUGGUUUAAAUUUAGUAACAUUAUCAAAUAUAAAUAUGUGUUUUCAAAGAUGCAUGAGCAUGUUUUGUUUCUCUUUCCAUUGUCCAUGAAGAGGGCUGCCAAGUGCUUGGCUGGCCUCCACGUCACCAAUACUGUGCCUGCGUGCCAUAAGUGUCAGAGGCCGGUCAGUUCAGCGUAGGACUCUCAGGGUUCAUUUGGGGUUCUGAUGGCAGAGUGCAAACUGAAUAUGCUUAUUGUUUGAGAUUAAGUGUGUAAACGAACACCUUUCUAGAUGUUGUCUUUGUACUUACAUGCGGAUAUAAAUAACCUGUACACGUAUCUGUUUUGAAGAAACUAAUUAAGUCUAAAUGACUAAUCCCCAGUUUCAGAGUCAUGUACACAAAACAUGAUUCAUGGAAGCAGGAAUGACUUCUUCACCUCCUGGACUUGGUAACACUUUGUUUGUGUUGCAUUGAAGGAAGAUGGUGGCAGGAGAUCAGUGGCUGCACUUGUUACAGAAAGCUGUGAGAGCAAGGAAGAGUUUGGACUGGGCUACCUAUCAUGGCCAGUGGCAUUUCAAGAAUGACCACCCAUGCCAGCCAUGCUCUGGCAGUGUUACGGUCCUGGAGACUGCUCAUAAUUCUUCUGAACAGUCAGUACAGAGCAUGAAGAAACAGUAGCACUGAACCGCACUGGAACCUGGCCUUCAGCAGAAGGAUAUGGAGGGUAUGAUGGUGUAGGCCUGGUUGUCCAGAAUCCAGUGUGUAGACAACAGUGGCCUUGAACUCAGAGAUCAUCCUGCUUCAACCUCCCAAGUACCCAGAUUAAAGAUGCUAUCUGCUGGACUUCAACCUAUAGGAUUACCAGAGAGACAGCUGCUCUGUGUUGGACCAAACAAAUCUACCAGUUAAGACCUACAGCCAGUCUUAUAGGCUAUGGAAUUAAUAAUUUUUCAUAAAAAGUACUUGGUAUUUCUUAUCAAGACCAAGUGCCAUCCAGUGCUAAAAGACUGAAAUCUCCUGCAAAGGUAUUUUAAUG
rnacentral:sRNA from 1 species